GGGAAACAUGUGUCCUCCAGGGAUAUUUUUGGCUGUCUCCCAAUACCAACCUGAUACAAGGAAGGAAUGAAGGCCAAAGGGAGGAUUUUAUUGCUAACUUCCUGCCUUUUUCUGCUGCUGCUGCUGCUGGCUAAGAUCCACUUGAGGAACCACCAGGAAGAGGAACUUCCGCUCUCAGACUGGUUUGACCCCAGGUAAGGG
rnacentral:lncRNA from 1 species